rnacentral:tRNA from 1 species
GGUUGUGGCUCAGUGGUAGAGUGCUUGCCUAGCACGUGUGAGGCACUGGGUUCGAUCCUCAGCACCA